ensembl:lncRNA
GGGGCUCAGAGCAACCUGGUGUAGUGAAAGGUGUUCCUGCCUAUGACAGGAGGGUUGGAUCCUUUAGGUCCCUUCCAACGCAAACCAUUCUAUGAUUCUAUGAUGUGACCUCAGUCUCUUCACUCAUUCCAGUUACCUGCUGAAAGCCCUGUCCAUGCUGCCUCACUUCAGCUUGGACAGCACUUUCCAGUUUGGCUUCCUGACAACCUUCUGCAUCAAGUGGCCUGCAUUCAUCAGCAUUGUGUCUGAUUUUCAUCAGGUUCCUCUCUGAAGCCUAUUCCUCCUGGCUGUUACCCAGAAGUUGGGCAACAGUUGCUGUUCUUUCCUGUUCCUUUCCCUGCUAUUACAAGAUGUCUGGAUCCAUCUUUUGAUCUGCCACAAAUGACACCUGAGCAAAGAUGACCUGGUUGUGGUCCACAUUUCUACUUGUCAUGCAUCAGUAGUACACCAGGGCAGAACAGCCUUUAUUUGCCCCGGAGCCUGCAGGGGAUCCAAGCCCCGGAGCCUGAAGGGGAUCCGAGCCCCGGAGCCUGCAGGGGAUCCAAGCCCCAGAUCCUGUUCCCGAUCCCCGCCCAGCGGACUCUGCCGGGAGCUGCUGACCCGGACUGGCUGCAGGACCGUGUGCUUGCUCAUCUCUCGGGCACCAAGGGCAGCGAGUGGAGCUAGAAGGGUUCAGGCACAAGAACACUUUGGGCUUUUAGCUGGGGCUGUCCUGGUGUGGUUGGCACCACAGAGACAGAAGAUAAUGAAGGGCAUUGCCCCAAAGAGCCUUUGGUCAGAGAUCCCAAAGGUCCAGUACAUCGCACUGAAAGGUGAUGUACCAUUGCUCUGAUUUUACACACAUGGUUAAAUUUCCCUCUUUUCUCCUGUUUCAUAUGAAGCA